UACAGAGGGGGCAAGCGUUGUUCGGAAUUACUGGGCGUAAAGGGCGCGUAGGCGGCCUUCUAAGUCGAACGUGAAAUCCCCGGGCUCAACCCGGGAACUGCGUCCGAUACUGGAAGGCUUGAAUCCGGGAGAGGAUGCGGAAUUCCAGGUGUAGCGGUGAAAUGCGUAGAUAUCUGGAGGAACACCGGUGGCGAAGGCGGCAUCCUGGACCGGUAUUGACGCUGAGGCGCGAAAGCCAGGGAGCAAACGGG
rnacentral:rRNA from 1 species